rnacentral:rRNA from 1 species
UGGGGAAUAUUGCACAAUGGGCGCAAGCCUGAUGCAGCCAUGCCGCGUGUGUGAAGAAGGCCUUCGGGUUGUAAAGCACUUUCAGCAGGGAGGAAGGCGAUAAGGUUAAUAACCUUGUCGAUUGACGUUACCCGCAGAAGAAGCACCGGCUAACUCCGUGCCAGCAGCCGCGGUAAUACGGAGGGUGCAAGCGUUAAUCGGAAUUACUGGGCGUAAAGCGCACGCAGGCGGUUGAUUGAGUCAGAUGUGAAAUCCCCGGGCUUAACCCGGGAAUUGCAUCUGAUACUGGUCAGCUAGAGUCUUGUAGAGGGGGGUAGAAUUCCAUGUGUAGCGGUGAAAUGCGUAGAGAUGUGGAGGAAUACCGGUGGCGAAGGCGGCCCCCUGGACGAAGACUGACGCUCAGGUGCGAAAGCGUGGGGAGCAAACAGG